ensembl:misc_RNA Metazoa_SRP Metazoan signal recognition particle RNA
GCUGGGCAUGGUGAUGCAUGCCUGUAAUUCCAGCUACUUGGGAGGCUGAGGCAGGAGACUUGCUUGAACCCAGAAGGUAGAGGUUGCAGUGAGCGGAGAUCAUGCUGCUGCACUCCAGCCUGGGUGACAGAGCAAGACUCUGCCUCAA